rnacentral:tRNA from 1 species
GGGGGUUUAGCUCAGUUGGUAGAGCGCCUGCUUUGCAUGCAGGAUGUCAGCGGUUCGAGUCCGCUAACCUCCA